AAGACGGCCUACUGGUCGUAUACCUCUUUUGAUAGGGAAGAACACAAUGACGGUACCUAUCGAUUCAGCCUCGGCUAACUCCGUGCCAGCAGCCGCGGCAAUACGGAGGAGGCAAGCGUUUUCUGGAAUUAUUGGGCGUAAAGCGUCCGUAGGUGGAUAUUCAAGUCAGUUGUUAAAGCGUGGAGCUUAACUCCAUAAAGGCAAUUAAACUGAAUGUCUAGAGUGCGAUAGGGGCAAGGGGAAUUCCCAGUGUAGCGGUGAAAUGCGUAGAUAUUGGGAAGAACAUCGGUGGCGAAAGCGCCUUGCUGGUUGCAUGAC
rnacentral:rRNA from 1 species